UUUUUGAUAAAGUUUUUGUGAUU
rnacentral:snRNA from 1 species